ensembl:lncRNA
AUAAAUAUCCAGAGGAGCAGAGAGCACAGGGAACCGUCAUAGGCUGGUGUGCAGCCACCGCUGGGAGAUGGCCGCCAGCCGUGACCUCCCCCAGCUCAGGUGCAGUGCAGAUCCCCCCACUCCAGGGCCCUCCCUCCAUCACAGCCUUCCACCCUAGCCAUCUCCUGCUGUGCCAGGGAGGGAGGCAAAGGAGAGAGCAAUCCAAGGACCUCUGAAUCUAGGUAUUAGAAUUCCUAUUAACCCUUCCAUCAGGAGCCAAUUAAAAAAGGAUGGUCAAGCAAUUUUUAAUUACUUUGUGAUGGUUUAAUAAGCCUCCAGGAAGCACAGUGCUUGAAAUCUCUCUUCUGCCCAUACCGCAGCCCUCUGCUGCAUGAACUCACGGGUUGGUUACUGUGCAGAUUCUCACAGACUCCCAGGUGGUGAUAAAAGGAUAUGAAAAUAACAUCAAGUGAGGAAGAAAAGACGCUGACCCCGAAGACUCCGUUAUGAUGAAUGGUGGUAAUAUGCAACAAUUCGGGGCACUUCUGUGCUUUUGCCUUGCCUAAAAUUCUGAGUAUACGGCAAGGACUGCCUGGAGAAUUUCAGCUGUCAGAGGGCACUCCACCUUGAAGGCUGCUGUGCCCUUAAAGUUAUAUCCCUGCACUGGAGGGUGGCUGCGUGGCCAUUUUGAGCGUGGAUUGAAGUAGUUAAGAGACACAAUUUGUACCUUUUUACUAUGAAAUUGGGUUUGUUGGCUCGUUUUUCUAGUUACUGGUAUUGAUGGUUACAGAACACCCGUGUGAUUGCCAAGCACUGUUUCUAGCCACGAAGAGCAAGCAGUCCACUGAUUUAAUAAUAAUAAUAAUAAUAAUAAUAAACCAACCAAACAAAACUAAUCCAAAAGAGGGUCUAUUUUUACUACGGCAUCCACAUCCAGACACCAGCAUUCAUUGUCACUGAUAACAGAGAAGAAAAAAGUCUAGUAGACUUAGGAAAUGGUUUUAAAUUUUUAUGAGCUCUCUGUAAUGCCAUCCGCAGCUACUCGAGCUAAGAUGAAAUCUCAAGGUUUACCAACUGAUGUGCUUUGAGAAAUAAAUCAGAAACUAAUUGUCUGAUAUUAGGGAAGAACUUGUUUUUACCUUCUCCCACCCUUCCCAACAUAAGUAUUUCUGUUUCCUUUAUACUGUGUAGUAUGUGUGAAUGUAUGUGAUGAGAGCAUAUAUAUUUAUUGUUACACUUGGACUGAUCUUCAUGCAACCCAUGAAAUUGAUAUGCUUCCCAUGUGAGAGUUACUCAGAGACAUACUUUAACUCUUAUUAAACCAAACCUUUACCAGGGGGCAGAGAGAUUUCAGGGGGGUCUCUGCCACGUAAAGAAAUCAUACUGUAUUUCCAUAUAUGAAUCUAAGCACAGUCGGACCUCAGAUUGUAUGGAGUGAGAGAUGUGAAAUGAGCUACGAGUACUGAGAGUCUGAAUAGUUGACGGAAAUUUCAAUGCAAUUAAUAUAAAGUAAAGGACGUGAACUCGUUGCUGAUAAAUUAGGGUUUGUGGAUUAUUAUGGCAUGG